AUAAAAUGAUGAUGAUGAUUGAAAUAAUAAUAAAAAUAUCUACAGGUUUUAUUUUUUGUUUUGUUUUUAUUAACACAAACAAAACAAAACAAAACAAAACAAAUACACUAAUGUUCAACAAAACACUUGUUUUCCAAAGCUUUCAAGCACGGACUUCCCUCCUUCCCUUCAACAGGUUUUCAUAUUAAUCUCUCAUUUAUCACAGAUUAUCUACAGCUUUUAGAGGGGUGCCCAAAAAGAGAAUCCGGCCAGCCCUGAGCGGGCACCACCUGAACAGCGAGAUCUCCCUCCGGAGAGCUUGCAAAAAGAAAGAAAGAAGAGGUGGGAAAGGGUCCAGCGCCCGGAUCCGAAAAGCGCCGACCCCGCAGAAGCCUUCCCGGGCUCCUAUUGGCUGCGGGCGCCUUUGCCGUCAUCUCUUCCUGUAGCUUUUGUCCCCGAGCCCUUUGCCGAGAGCUGCGCUCUGCAGCUGUGCAGGACGAACCCGAGAGAGCGAAAAGUUUCCAGGCGCUUGGCUAUUAAAUCCUCGCAUCUUUUUUGUUUUUGUUUUGCACCCACCCGGGCUUGAUCCAGGGGGGCCUAUUGAACCCCUCCACCUUCUCCUCCGUGAUUCCUUUUCUUUUCUUUGCUUGCAAGCAGGAAACUUUGUUGCGGCGGAGUUUUUCCUCCCCUUUCCGCGAAGAGGUGCGCACGGACGGAUUGCAUCAGGAGUUUGCAGCUGGGGAAAGCACUCAAAUUCUGGAGUUCCUUCUUUUCCUGGGGUGGGGUGUUCAGCUGCCGUGGACCUCUGAGUUGGCUUGGAGGCGAAAGAAGGCACGAUCCGGCGCCCCCUCCCUCCCCAUCCUGGUGUGCGGAGUGCCCCCCCAUCUCAGCCAAUUUUCCUCCGCCUCCUCUCCAAGUUUGGCAUCGGGGGGAAAAGGCAUCGGAUAUGGAGCCCACGGAAGCGAGGACGACCUCAUAAGAACUUCCCUCGACUUCUUGCAAGACGAAAAAAGGGGCAGCCCUUGGACCUGA
rnacentral:lncRNA from 1 species